UACGUAGGGUGCAAGCAUUAAUCGGAUUUAUUGGGCGUAAAGGGCGCGUAGGCUGAAAUUUAAGUCAGAUGUGAAAUCCUGGAGCUCAACUCCAGAACAGCAUUUGAAACUGGAUUUCUAGAGGGUAGGCGGAGAAAACGGAAUUCCGACAAGUAGCGGUGAAAUGCGUAGAUAUGUGGAAGAACACCAGUGGCGAAGGCGGUUUUCUAGCCUUACACCUGACGCUGAUGCGCGAAAGCAAGGGGAGCAAACAGG
rnacentral:rRNA from 1 species